rnacentral:rRNA from 1 species
UACGAAGGGGGCUAGCGUUGCUCGGAAUCACUGGGCGUAAAGGGUGCGUAGGCGGGUCUUUAAGUCAGGGGUGAAAUCCUGGAGCUCAACUCCAGAACUGCCUUUGAUACUGAGGAUCUUGAGUUCGGGAGAGGUGAGUGGAACUUCGAGUGUAGAGGUGAAAUUCGUAGAUAUUCGCAAGAACACCAGUGGCGAAGGCGGCUCACUGGCCCGAUACUGACGCUGAGGCACGAAAGCGUGGGGAGCAAACAGG